CUCUUGUCCUUCAUUCCACCGGAGUCUGUCUGAUGCCAACCAGAUUUCAGUGGAGUGAAGCCCAAGAG
rnacentral:miRNA from 1 species